AUUGAAGGCUGGCUGCAGUUCUAACAGAGGCCAGUCGAGCGGGUGAAGUUAUCUUGCUCCUUUGGUCAGCAGCGGACGUGUGAGUAAUGCCUAGGAAUGUCCCUAGUAGUUAGCGAUAACUUCCCGAAACGGGCGCUAAUACCGCAUACGUCCUGAGGGAGAAAGUGGGUGGUCUUCGGACCUCACGCUGUCACAUAAGCCGAGGUCGAAUUAGCUAGUUGGGGGGGUAAAGGCCUACCAAGGCGACGAUCCGUAACUGGUCUGAGAGGAUGAUCAGGCACACCGGACCUGAGACACGGUCCAGACUCCUACGGGAGGCAGCAGUGGGGAAUAUGGGACAAUGGGCGAAAGCCUGAUCCAGCCAUGCCGCGUGUGUGAAGAAGGUCUUCGGAUUGUAAAGCCCUUUAAGUUGGGAGGAAGGGGAGUAAGUUAAUACCUUGCUGUUUUGACGGUCCCAACAGAAGAAGCACCGGCUAACUUCG
rnacentral:rRNA from 1 species